CCUACGGGAGGCAGCAGUGGGGAAUAUUGGGCAAUGGGCGCAAGCCUGACCCAGCCACGCAGCGUGAAGGAAGCAGGCCUUCGGGUUGUAAACUUCUUUUCUCAGGGACGAAGCAAGUGACGGUACCUGUGUUAUAUGGCUCGGCUAACUACGUGGCAGCAGCCGUGGUAAUACGUCGGGGGCAAUCGUUAUCCGGAUUGACUGGUGGUAAAGGGAGGUUAGGCGGGAAAGGAAGGCAGAUGUGAAAACCAUGGGCUCAACCUUUGCCCUGCGUCGGAAACUGGCUUGCUUGAGUACGUGGGAGGCAGACGGAAUUCGUGGUGUAGCGGUGAAAUGCGUAGAUAUUAGGAGGAACACCGAUGGCGAAGGCGGUCUGCGGGACAGCUACUGACGCUGAGGCGCGAAAGCGUGGGGAGCAAACAGGAUUAGAUACCCCUGUAGUC
rnacentral:rRNA from 1 species